rnacentral:rRNA from 1 species
GACGAACGCUGGCGGCGUGCUUAACACAUGCAAGUCGAACGGUAAGGCUCCAGCUUGCUGGGGUACACGAGUGGCGAACGGGUGAGUAACACGUGGGUGACCUGCCCUGCACUUCGGGAUAAGCCUGGGAAACUGGGUCUAAUACCGGAUAGGACCGCACCGUGAGGGUGUGGUGGAAAGUUUUUUCGGUGUGGGAUGGGCCCGCGGCCUAUCAGCUUGUUGGUGGGGUAAUGGCCUACCAAGGCGGCGACGGGUAGCCGGCCUGAGAGGGUGGACGGCCACAUUGGGACUGAGACACGGCCCAGACUCCUACGGGAGGCAGCAGUGGGGAAUAUUGCACAAUGGGCGGAAGCCUGAUGCAGCGACGCCGCGUGGGGGAUGACGGCCUUCGGGUUGUAAACUCCUUUCACCAUCGACGAAGGGUUUCUGACGGUAGAUGGAGAAGAAGCACCGGCUAACUACGUGCCAGCAGCCGCGGUAAUACGUAGGGUGCGAGCGUUGUCCGGAAUUACUGGGCGUAAAGAGCUCGUAGGUGGUUUGUCGCGUCGUCUGUGAAAUUCCGGGGCUUAACUCCGGGCGUGCAGGCGAUACGGGCAUAACUUGAGUACUGUAGGGGAGACUGGAAUUCCUGGUGUAGCGGUGAAAUGCGCAGAUAUCAGGAGGAACACCGGUCGCGAAGGCGGGUCUCUGGGCAGUAACUGACGCUGAGGAGCGAAAGCAUGGGGAGCGAACAGG